GGAUGGUCCAAGUGCACUAUGUUUACAACUAACUGAUCACAACCAGUUCUAGAUUUCUUUGUACUCUCUCCACUCCCACUGCUUCACUUGACUAGCUUUAA
rnacentral:Y_RNA from 1 species